AAAUCCCUGCGGUGCGCGCGAUUUUGAUCGAAUAAUCUUGAACCUUUAGCACUAAAAUAGGGAGCCUAACUGAAUGCGCGCUUUGGCGUGCGAUCGAGGGCACCCACCUGUUAGACACAGGAUCAAGAUCAUUCAUAUCUCAACGCCACUUGCGGGGAUUUU
rnacentral:other from 1 species